AUUGAACGCUGGCGGAAUGCUUUACACAUGCAAGUCGAACGGCAGCACGGGGGCAACCCUGGUGGCGAGUGGCGAACGGGUGAGUAAUACAUCGGAACGUGCCCGGUCGUGGGGGAUAACGUAGCGAAAGUUACGCUAAUAACGCAUACGAUCUGAGGCUGCAAGCGGGGGACCUUCGGGCCUCGCGCGCUCGGAGCGGCCGAUGUGAGAUUAGGUAGCUGGUGGGGUAAAGGCCUACCAAGCCGACGAUCUGUAGCUGGUCUGAGAGGACGACCAGCCACACUGGGACGGGGACACGGCCCAGACUCCUACGGGAGGCAGCAGUGGGGAAUUGUGGACAAUGGGCGCAAGCCUGAUCCAGCCAGUCCGCGUGCAGGACGAAGGCCUUCGGGUUGUAAACUGCUUUUGUAUGGAACGAAAAGGCUCUGGCUAAUACCUGGGGCUCAUGACGGUACCGUAAGAAUAAGCACCGGCUAACUACGUG
rnacentral:rRNA from 1 species